GUUAGCCUACGGGAGGCAGCAGUGGGGAAUAUUGCACAAUGGGGGGAACCCUGAUGCAGCGACGCCGCGUGAGUGAAGAAGUAUUUCGGUAUGUAAAGCUCUGUCAGUAGGGAAGAAGAAAGACGGUACCUGACCAAGAACCCCCGGCUAACUACGUGCCAGCAGCCGCGGUACUACGUAGGGGGCAAGCGUUAUCCGUAUUUACUGGGUGUAGAGGGAGCGUAGCCGGCAGGGCAAGUCUGGAGUGAAAGGCAGGGGCCCAACCCCUGGACUGCUAUGGAAACUGUACGGCUGGAGUGCAGGAG
rnacentral:rRNA from 1 species